rnacentral:misc_RNA from 1 species
ACUUAUCUGAUGAUGGAGCAGAGGUACUACUGCAGCACCUCUUGUUUAUUAUUCUCUAUUUGCUUAUCUUCUAUAAAACAUCUAUAUAGAGGGACACGUGCAUGUUAAACUGUUGUAAACUUCCAUUGUAUUGUCAUGUCCCUGUUGCAUUUUGUCAGUUGAGUUAGCACCCUGGAGAAAAUGACACUAGUUCUACAUGAUUUCUGCAAAUACUGGUUAUACAAUUUGCUGGCAUCUAAACCAUUUCAAAUCAAAGUUCUAUUGUUUUAGG